CGGUAAUUCCAGCUCCAAUAGCGUAUACUAAAGUUGUUGCAGUUAAAAAGCUCGUAGUUGGAUUUCUGCGCGGGCGGGGCGUCCGCUGGCCUCAGGUCAGGUUGGGCAGCAACGCCCGCGCAUCCUGCCGCGAACCACGCUACCAUUCAUUUGGUGGCGUUGGGGACCGGCUCGUUUACUUUGAGGAAAUUUAAGUGUUCAAAGCAGGUUUUACCGCCUUGAAAAUGCUAGCAUGGAAUAAUGAUAAAGGACUUUGGUUCUAUUUUGUUGGUGUUCGGAACCGAAGUAAUGAUUGAUAGGGACAGUUGGGGGCGUCUGUAUUCUGAAGCGAGAGGUGAAAUUCUUAGACCUUCGGAAGACAAACAGCUGCGAAAGCGUUCGCCAAGGAUGUUCCCUUUGAUCAAGAACGAAAGUUGGGGGAUCGAAGACGAUCAGAUACCGUCGUAGUCUCAACUAUAAACUAUACCACCUAGGGAUCGGCCAACGUUGAUUCAUAAAGACUUGGUCGGCACCUUAUGAGAAAUCAAAGGAUUUGGGUUCCGGGGGGAGUAUGGUCGCAAGGCUGAAACUUAAAGGAAUUGACGGAAGGGCACCACCAGGCGUGGAGCCUGUGGCUUAAUUUGACUCAACACGGGGAAACUUACCAGGUCCAGACAUAGGAAGGAUUGACAGAUUGACAGCUCUUUCUUGAUUCUAUGGGUGGUGGUGCAUGGCCGUUCUUAGUUGGUGGAGUGAUUUGUCUGGUUAAUUCCGUUAACGAACGAGACCCCAGCCUGUUAAAUAGCGCGCGUCGUUUCUGACGGCGGCGAGCUUCUUAGAGGGACUACGGUUCGCCAUAGACCGGGGAAGUUUGGGGCAAUAACAGGUCUGUGAUGCCCUUAGAUGUUCUGGGCCGCACACGGGCUACACUGACGCGUGCAACGAGCAUAUCAGCUGGCCCGAGAGGGCAUAGGCUAAUCUUUUGAACUCGCGUCGUGCUAGGGAUUGACCAUUGCAAUUGUUGGUCAUGCAACGAGGAAUGCCUUGUAAACGCGAGUCAUCAACUCGCAUUGAAUACGUCCCUGCCCCUUGUACACACCGCCC
rnacentral:rRNA from 1 species